rnacentral:rRNA from 1 species
UGCAAGUCGAACGCAGUAGCAAUACUGAGUGGCAAACGGGUGAGUAUAAUGUGGGAAUCUGCCUUUUGGUUUGGAAUAACACGAGGAAACUUGUGCUAAUACCGAAUAAGCCUUCACAGGGAAAGUUUUAACGCCGAAAGAUGAGCCCGCACUUGAUUAGCUAGUUGGUAAGGUAAAAGCUUACCAAGGCGAUGAUCAAUAGCUGUUCUUAGAGGAAGACCAGCCACAUUGGGACUGAGACACGGCCCAGACUCCUACGGGAGGCAGCAGUGGGGAAUCUCGCACAAUGGGGGAAACCCUGAUGCAGCGAUGCCGCGUGAGUGAAGAAGGCCUUUGGGUUGUAAAACUCUUUCGUCGGGGAAGAAAAUGACUGUACCCGGAUAAGAAGGUCCGGCUAACUUCGUGCCAGCAGCCGCGGUAAUACGAAGGGACCUAGCGUAGUUCGGAAUUACUGGGCUUAAAGAGCUCGUAGGUGGUUAAAAAAGUUGAUGGUGAAAUCCCAAGGCUUAACCUUGGAACUGCCAUCAAAACUUUUUAGCUAGAGUGUGAUAGAGGUAAGUGGAAUUUCUAGUGUAGAGGUGAAAUUCGUAGAUAUUAGAAAGAACACCAAAUGCGAAGGCAACUUACUGGGUCACUACUGACACUGAGGAGCGAAAGCAUGGGUAGCGAAGAGGAUUAGAUACCCUCGUAGUCCAUGCCGUAGACGAUGUGCGCUAGACGUUGGAAAUAUAUUUUUCAGUGUCGCAGCGAAAGCAUUAAGCACACCGCCUGGGGAGUACGACCGCAAGGUUAAAACCUCAAAUGAAUUGACGGGGACCCG